rnacentral:rRNA from 1 species
CCUACGGGAGGCAGCAGUGGGGAAUAUUGCACAAUGGGGGAAACUCUGAUCCAGCGACGCAGCGUGAGCGAUGAAGUAUUUCGGUAUUGAAAGCUCUAUCAGCAGGGAAGAAAAUGACGGUACGUGACUAAGUAUCCCCGUCUAACUACGUGCCAGCAGCCCCGGCAAUACGUAGGGGGCAAGCGUUAUCCGGAUUUACUGGGUGUAAAGGGAGCGUAGACGGUUCUGCAAGCCAGAUGUGAAAGCCCGGGGCUCAACCGCGAGAUUGCAAUUGAGACUGUAAGGCUUGAGUGUCGGAGAGGUAGGCGGAAUUCGUAGUGUAGCGGUGAAAUGCGUAGAUAUUAGGAGGAACCCCAGUUGCGAAGGCAGCUUGCUAAACGAUGACUGACAUUGAGGCUCGAAAGCGUGGGGAUCGAACAGGAUUAGAUACCCGAGUAGUC